CCCCGCGCCGCGCGCUCCCCAGGGACCGUGCCCCGGAACCACGACCACUAACGGAACCAGCCCACCGGCGGCGGCAGCAGCCGCUCGGACUACGGACGGCGACGCGCGGCCGGGGCGCCAGGAGGGCGGGGGUUCCCCGGAGGAGCUGGCCGCCCCAGCGCCCCAUUGGGCGCCGCUCCAAACGUGCCCGAGUGGUGACAGGAAUAAAAGUGGGUCACAAGGCCUAGCGGGUCCCGGGCGAAAGCCCUCUCGGCACCAGGCUCGCUUUCCCGGACGCACGGCCGCUGGAACCGGCUGGAACCCGGUCACCCUCCGGUCACCGGGGCCGGCCGCGCACCCCAAUCCCGCCCCUGCCCCGCAGGUUGCGAAGAUUCCUGGACCACCAGUGACCCUGGAGGCGCGCGUCUUCGAGUGCUUCUUACUGGCUGGUGGUUGGUUUGGGGAGACAGGACCGUGGGCACCUUCAGCCGCAGCAGUGGCAAGAGUGGAUCUGAAUCUGGAAGAAUGGAGGACUGGAGCCAGCUUUUCAUGCACGAUUAAUGAGAAAGUACCCUGGGGCGGGGGCGGGGGUGGUGCAGAUUCA